UUGGAGGGCAAGUCUGGUGCCAGCAGCCGCGGUAAUUCCAGCUCCAAUAGCGUAUAUUAAAGUUGUUGCAGUUAAAAAGCUCGUAGUUGAAUUUCGGGAUCAAUAUUUCGGUCAUGCCGUUGGUAUGCACUGUUAUCAUUGAUUUCUCACCUUCUAAAGAACCGUGAUGCCAUUAAUUUGGUGUUACGGGGAAUUAGGACUGUUACCUUGAAAAAAUUAGAGUGUUUAAAGCAGGCA
rnacentral:rRNA from 1 species